GAAUAUUGGACAAUGGGGGGAACCCUGAUCCAGCCAUGCCGCGUGUGUGAAGAAGGCCUUUUGGUUGUAAAGCACUUUAAGCGAGGAGGAGGCUCCCGAGGUUAAUACCCUAGGAUCGUGGACGUUACUCGCAGAACAAGCACCGGCCAACGCGGUGCCAGCUGCCGCGGUAAUACAGAGGGUGCAAGCGUUAAUCGGAUUGACGGGGCGUAAAGCGCGCGUAGGUGGCCAAUUAAGUCAAAUGUGAAAUCCCCGAGCUUAACUUGGGAAUUGCAUUCGAUACUGGUUGGCUAGAGUAUGGGAGAGGAUGGUAGAAUUCCAGGUGUAGCGGUGAAAUGCGUAGAGAUCUGGAGGAAUACCGAUGGCGAAGGCAGCCAUCUGGCCUAAUACUGACACUGAGGUGCGAAAGCAUGGGGAGCAAACA
rnacentral:rRNA from 1 species